GGUUGGUGAUAAUUGCUCUAUGUAGCGGCGUUGGGCAUCUGCUUCUUCAUGCUUUAGAGCUUUGCUGAGUCUGCAUGGCGACCGGUGAGACUGCCAUUCACGUCGCGAUCGUCGCUUUUCCAGAACAAGUUGUUCUAUUUGAAGAUUAGUUUUACGUUUAUUGGUCUGCACAUGCGCGCGUUGUGGAGUAGAGAUCUUAGCUGCUGCAACAAGUACAGAUUCUAAUAAGUCAGCAGAGCAGUCGAUGACCGCUUCGAUGUUGAACUGCGGAGCAAGAUCGAGGUAAGAGCUAACGUAUUUCUUGUACUUGAGCCAGUUGGUUCUGUGUUUUGUGAGUCUAUUAGAAUAUUCCACAUAUUCCGGGGAUUGGAGUAGAUUUAAUAACACGGGGGAGUGGUCGGAUGAAAGAUCCGAAAGUGCUACGGCGCUUAUCAGAUUGCGUGGGAUGUUUUUUGUCACAG